rnacentral:lncRNA from 1 species
CCACGCUGUAUUCACUGCCUGGCUUUUUGCUUUUUUGCUUUUCUUUCUUGUGUUCCCUUAAGUUUGCUUUCAACUAAGAUUUUUGUCCCCUUUUUGAUCUUUAGAAAAAUUAAAGUGUGGGAUCUUAUGGCUGCUCUGGACCCGCGUGCUCCUGCAGGGACUCUUUGUCUACGGACGCUUGUGGAGCAUUCUGGAAGAGUUUUCCGACUCCAGUUUGAUGAAUUCCAGAUUGUCAGUAGUUCACAUGAUGACACAAUUCUCAUCUGGGACUUCCUAAAUGAUCCAGCCACUCAUGCUGAACCGCCCCGCUCCCCUUCUCGGACAUACACCUACAUCUCCAGAUAAAUAACGCGACACUGGCCUCAUAAUUGCCCAGGACUCGUUAACGUUGCAGUAUUUAACAUGCCUGCCAAGACCAGGAUGAACAACAACAAUCAAACUCCCACCCGGAUUCCUGGACGGACCAGCGAGGAGCAGGCCUUUGAGACUCCUGUUGGGACACAGCCGGUCAGCAGCCGACCAGGACGGUCUGCUCGGCACACCGGCUGCUUCAGUGCUGCUAUCAGAAGAUGUCUUUAUCUUGUGUGAAUGAUUGGAACUUUCAAGCCUCCCUCCCCUCUCCUUCCCCCUUCCUCUGCACCUGUUUCUCUCCCAUUGGGUUCCAGACAAAGAUGACUUAUAAAUAUAUUUAGUGUUUUGCCAGAAUCUCUCUUGCUUUGCCAUUAAGCAGAAGAACUAGUUUCCCCAUCUGGCCCACGUCUAGGGGACGGGGCUGCAGCUUCCAGGCAGAGACUGCCUGACCUCCUCCUGUUAACUGCAGGAGUGUCCAGCAUCUGGCCAGAGCAUUCCAGGCCACUGCGUGGGAGGAGACAGCUGCCUACACAUCUUGGAGGGGAGAGAGAGGAACAUACACACUGGAAGAUCUGCACCUGCUGCCUCCCUCCAUUGUCCGGGUGUCUGUCCCUCUCCCGUCCUCCCUACUCUAUCUGAGCCUGAGAAGGUGUGUGAAGAGAGCCCCUCAGCUAGCAUGAGGUGGGUCACCCAGACAGUGAGACACUCGGAAGAGCAACCUGGGGCAGCAGUGAAUUUGUGACCUUGGCUCUGGUCACCGUUGCAGCUUUCUCUCCUUCCCUGUGCCUGGGGAGGGACACGAAUGUCCUGAGCGCCAUCAGUGCUUGUGUUUGCUCCAAACUCAGCAGUCUCCUUGGUUCCGUGGAGAGUGGAAAGGAGCUGCUGAUUGCAUUCCUCUCAUUAACAAUUAGAUGUGGAAUAAAAAGCAUUGCGCUUCAUCUUAAAUCACUGGCGAGGCUAGGCCUGCAGAAAGGCCUGGGUCAGCCAGCACCAGGCACCGCC